AGGAUGAACGCUGGCGGCGUGCUUAACACAUGCAAGUCAAGGGGGCCCAGCAAUGGGCAACCGGCGAACGGGUGCGUAACACGUGAGCAACCUACCGAAUUGUGGGGGAUAGCCGGCCCAACGGCCGGGUAAUACCGCAUACGCUCGAGACCAGGCAUUUGGACUCGAGGAAAUUUACGGAGCAAUUCGAGGGGCUCGCGGCCUAUCAGCUAGUUGGUGAGGUAACGGCUCACCAAGGCGACGACGGGUAGCUGGUCUGAGAGGAUGGCCAGCCACACUGGGACUGAGACACGGCCCAGACUCCUACGGGAGGCAGCAGUGGGAAUAUUGCGCAAUGGACGAAAGUCUGACGCAGCGACGCCGCGUGUGGGAUGGACGGUCUUCGGAUUGUAAACCACGU
rnacentral:rRNA from 1 species